GAAAGGUGCUUGCAUCUUGAUUUAAUUUUGAACGAGUGGCGGACGGGUGAGUAACACGUGGGUAACCUGCCCUUAAGUGGGGGAUAACAUUUGGAAACAGAUGCUAAUACCGCAUAAAUCCAAGAACCGCAUGGUUCUUGGCUGAAAGAUGGCGUAAGCUAUCGCUUUUGGAUGGACCCGCGGCGUAUUAGCUAGUUGGUGAGGUAACGGCUCACCAAGGCAAUGAUACGUAGCCGAACUGAGAGGUUGAUCGGCCACAUUGGGACUGAGACACGGCCCAAACUCCUACGGGAGGCAGCAGUAGGGAAUCUUCCACAAUGGACGCAAGUCUGAUGGAGCAACGCCGCGUGAGUGAAGAAGGCUUUCGGGUCGUAAAACUCUGUUGUUGGAGAAGAAUGGUCGGCAGAGUAACUGUUGUCGGCGUGACGGUAUCCAACCAGAAAGCCACGGCUAACUACGUGCCAGCAGCCGCGGUAAUACGUAGGUGGCAAGCGUUAUCCGGAUUUAUUGGGCGUAAAGCGAGCGCAGGCGGUUUUUUAAGUCUGAUGUGAAAGCCCUCGGCUUAACCGAGGAAGUGCAUCGGAAACUGGGAAACUUGAGUGCAGAAGAGGACAGUGGAACUCCAUGUGUAGCGGUGAAAUGCGUAGAUAUAUGGAAGAACACCAGUGGCGAAGGCGGCUGUCUGGUCUGUAACUGACGCUGAGGCUCGAAAGCAUGGGUAGCGAACAGGAUUAGAUACCCUGGUAGUCCAUGCCGUAAACGAUGAAUGCUAGGUGUUGGAGGGUUUCCGCCCUUCAGUGCCGCAGCUAACGCAUUAAGCAUUCCGCCUGGGGAGUACGACCGCAAGGUUGAAACUCAAAGGAAUUGACGGGGGCCCGCACAAGCGGUGGAGCAUGUGGUUUAAUUCGAAGCAACGCGAAGAACCUUACCAGGUCUUGACAUCUUUUGAUCACCUGAGAGAUCAGGUUUCCCCUUCGGGGGCAAAAUGACAGGUGGUGCAUGGUUGUCGUCAGCUCGUGUCGUGAGAUGUUGGGUUAAGUCCCGCAACGAGCGCAACCCUUAUGACUAGUUGCCAGCAUUUAGUUGGGCACUCUAGUAAGACUGCCGGUGACAAACCGGAGGAAGGUGGGGAUGACGUCAAAUCAUCAUGCCCCUUAUGACCUGGGCUACACACGUGCUACAAUGGAUGGUACAACGAGUUGCGAGACCGCGAGGUCAAGCUAAUCUCUUAAAGCCAUUCUCAGUUCGGACUGUAGGCUGCAACUCGCCUACACGAAGUCGGAAUCGCUAGUAAUCGCGGAUCAGCACGCCGCGGUGAAUACGUUCCCGGGCCUUGUACACACCGCCCGUCAC
rnacentral:rRNA from 1 species